rnacentral:rRNA from 1 species
GUGCGCCGCCGCGGUAAUACCGGCAGCCCGAGUGAUGGCCGAUAUUAUUGGGCCUAAAGCGUUCGUAGCCGGCCAGACAAGUCUGUUGGGAAAUCCACGCGCUCAACGCGUGGGCGUCCAGCGGAAACUGUCUGGCUUGGGGCCGGAGGACUCGAGGGGUACGUCCGGGGUAGGAGUGAAAUCCCGUAGUCCUGGACGGACCACCGGUGGCGAAAGCGCCUCGAGACGACGGACCCGACGGUGAGGAACGAAAGCCAGGGUCUCGAACCGGAUUAGAAACCCUGGUAGUCC